rnacentral:misc_RNA from 1 species
AAGUCGUAACAAGGUUUCCGUAGGUGAACCUGCGGAAGGAUCAUUACACGUAUUACGGGGGGGCAGGAAUUAAGGUAUAUGGAUUUCCAUGUGCUUUGUUUCAGUCCUUCUGAAUAUUCUACCCAUGUCUUUUGCGUACUAUUUGUUUCCUUGGUGAGCUUGCUCGCCAAUAGGACACUAUAAAACCUUUUGUAAUUGCAGUCAGCGUCAGAAAUAACUUAAUAGUUACAACUUUCAACAACGGAUCUCUUGGUUCUG